rnacentral:rRNA from 1 species
UACGUAGGGGGCGAGCGUUGUCCGGAUUUAUUGGGCGUAAAGAGCUCGUAGGCGGUUCGAUAAGUCGGAUGUGAAAUCUCCACGCUCAACGUGGAGGGGCCAUUCGAUACUGUCGUGACUCGAGUCCGGUAGGGGAGUGUGGAAUUCCCGGUGUAGCGGUGAAAUGCGCAGAGAUCGGGAGGAACACCCGUAGCGAAGGCGGCUCACUGGCCCGAUACUGACGCUGAGGUGCGAAAGCGUGGGGAGCAAACAGG